rnacentral:tRNA from 1 species
UCCCUCAUAGUCUAGUGGUUAGAACUCGGUGCUUUUACCACUGUGGCCCAGGGUUCAAUCCCUGGUCUGGGAA